CCUACGGGGUGCACCAGUGGGGAAUCUUAGACAAUGGGCGCAAGCCUGAUCUAGCCAUGCCGCGUGUGUGAUGAAGGUCUUAGGAUCGUAAAGCACUUUCGCCAGGGAUGAUAAUGACAGUACCUGGUAAAGAAACCCCGGCUAACUCCGUGCCAGCAGCCGCGGUAAUACGGAGGGGGCUAGCGUUGUUCGGAAUUACUGGGCGUAAAGCGCGCGUAGGCGGAUUGGAAAGUUGGGGGUGAAAUCCCGGGGCUCAACCCCGGAACUGCCUCUAAAACUCUCAGUCUAGAGGUCGAGAGAGGUGAGUGGAAUUCCGAGUGUAGAGGUGAAAUUCGUAGAUAUUCGCAGGAA
rnacentral:rRNA from 1 species